AGAAAGAAUACGACCCUCACCAAC
rnacentral:misc_RNA from 1 species